UUACCUAGGUUUGACAUCCGGAAGACCUUCCCGAAAAGGAAGGGUGCCCUUCGGGGAAUUCCGAGACAGGUGCUGCAUGGCUGUCGUCAGCUCGUGCCGUGAGGUGUUGGGUUAAGUCCCGCAACGAGCGCAACCCUAUUGCCAGUUGCUACCAGGUAAUGCUGGGCACUCUGGUGAGACUGCCCCGGUUAACGGGGAGGAAGGUGGGGACGACGUCAAGUCAUCAUGGCCCUUACGCCUAGGGCUACACACGUACUACAAUGGCGCAUACAAAGGGCAGCGAUACCGCGAGGUGGAGCCAAUCCCAAAAAGUGCGUCCCAGUCCGGAUUGCAGUCUGCAACUCGACUGCAUGAAGUUGGAAUCGCUAGUAAUUCGAGAUCAGCAUGCUCGGGUGAAUGCGUUCCCGGGCCUU
rnacentral:rRNA from 1 species